CGGGCCUGAACCUUUGAGUGCCCCAAAUUCAUCAGCUCAGUACGGUUCAGUAGUUUAAUUGCUCUUUUAAAAUUUUUGGCAAAUUUGGGGGUAGUGUAGGAGAGAACCGGACGCCAGACUUCGCUGUCCCAGGCCAAUCGUAGCUCUUCAAGGCACUCUUCAGGCUUUGCCAGACUGGAUAAGAAAUAUUGGCGUCUGGCUUUCCACAAACUGAGAGGGACUUCCACGUGAAAGCCUGCUGAAUUUAGGAGCUCACCUGUUUAGGACUGCACCAAAGGAUCAGACAAGUGGUUCGAGUCAGCGGGACCUGAUUUAUGGCGGCAGAGCCCCUCGGCCGGAAGAGAUGCAAGAGGAAUCAGCUGCAGCCAGGACGUUUUCCGCCAGCUGGACGUCGGCCCGCGGGUCCAGUUUUAUUUAUGUCGGAUGAGCGUGAUGUUCGCUCGGUUGAAGAGGCCGAGCGCAGGUGCCGUGAGGCUGAUGCUCUCCUGAUGCCACAUUACCAGGGCUGGGAUGGCAGUGCAACACAACAGGAGAAGGAGUCACCGUCCAAGUGUACACACAAGCACAUGAGGGUUGGAGUGUAUCCUGAGCAACAUGCAUGUGAUGGCAGAGGCCAACAGCAAGAGACAUUCUCCCUGCAACAUGGAGAACCAGAGCCUCAGGAGCUACCAUGCUGAGCCAACAGUAUGCAGGGUUUGCAUGUCAGGUGAUGCCCGUCCCUCCUAUGUAGUC